rnacentral:rRNA from 1 species
AUUGAACGCUGGCGGCAUGCCUUACACAUGCAAGUCGAACGGCAGCACGGACUUCGGUCUGGUGGCGAGUGGCGAACGGGUGAGUAAUACAUCGGAACGUGCCUAGUAGUGGGGGAUAACUACUCGAAAGAGUGGCUAAUACCGCAUGAGAUCUACGGAUGAAAGCAGGGGAUCGCAAGACCUUGUGCUACUAGAGCGGCCGAUGGCAGAUUAGGUAGUUGGUGGGGUAACGGCCUACCAAGCCGACGAUCAGUAGCCGACCCGAGAGGGUGACCGGCCACAUUGGGACUGAGACACGGCCCAA